rnacentral:sRNA from 2 species
CCGCCUAUAGCGCCGAGCUCCAUCCAGUAGGCGGGAGUCAACCGGGUGGAUGGAGGCGGGGACCCACCGGUCCGCCCGGAUCGGACCUGGAGCCGUCCGCGGCUCCUAGGGGUGAAGCCACGUCGUUUCCCCCGGAUGACGACGACGGCCGGGCAACCUCUCCAGCCCGAACCCGACAGCUGACCUCGUGGGCGCGUACAGGGAGGACUU